AGAGUUUGAUCCUGGCUCAGGACGAACGCUGGCGGUAUGCUUAACACAUGCAAGUCGAACGAGAAAUCAUCUAAUGAAGCUUCGGCUGAUUUAGAAGAUGGAAAGUGGCGAACGGGUGAGUAACGCGUGGGUAACCUGCCUCAUGGAAAGGGAUAGCCUCGGGAAACUGGGAGUAAAACCUUAUAGAUAUAUCUUUCGCAUGGGAGAUGUAAGAAAACUCAGGUGCCAUGAGAUGGACCCGCGUCCCAUUAGCUAGUUGGUGAGAUAACAGCCCACCAAGGCGACGAUGGGUAACCGGUCUGAGAGGGCAAACGGUCACACUGGAACUGAGACACGGUCCAGACUCCUACGGGAGGCAGCAGUGGGGAAUAUUGCGCAAUGGGGGGAACCCUGACGCAGCAAUACCGCGUGAGCGAAGAAGGUUUUCGGAUCGUAAAGCUCUUUUAUCAGGGAAGAUAAUGACGGUACCUGAUGAAUAAGUCCCGGCUAACUACGUGCCAGCAGCCGCGGUAAUACGUAGGGGACAAGCGUUGUCCGGAAUGACUGGGCGUAAAGGGCGCGUAGGCGGACUGAUAAGUCUGAUGUGAAAGGUACCGGCUCAACCGGUGAACUGCAUUGGAAACUGUCAGCCUUGAGUACUGGAGAGGCAAGUGGAAUUCCUAGUGUAGCGGUGAAAUGCGUAGAUAUUAGGAGGAACACCGGCGGCGAAGGCGGCUUGCUGGACAGAUACUGACGCUGAGGCACGAAAGCGUGGGGAUCAAACAGGAUUAGAUACCCUGGUAGUCCACGCAGUAAACGAUGAUAACUAACCGUCGGCGAUACACAGUCGGUGGCCAAGCGAAAGCGAUAAGUUAUCCACCUGGGGAGUACGUUCGCAAGAAUGAAACUCAAAGGAAUUGACGGGGGCCCGCACAAGCGGAGGAACAUGUGGUUUAAUUCGAUGAUACGCGAGGAACCUUACCCGGGCUCGAACGGCAAGUGAAGAGAUCCAGAGAUGGUGACGCCCUUCGGGGCACUUGUCGAGGUGCUGCAUGGUUGUCGUCAGCUCGUGUCGUGAGAUGUUGGCUUAAGUGCCAUAACGAGCGCAACCCUUGUCACUAGUUACCAGCAAGUCAAGUUGGGGACUCUAGUGAGACUGCCACCGCAAGGUGUGAGGAAGGCGGGGAUGACGUCAAAUCAGCACGGCCCUUACGUCCGGGGCGACACACGUGUUACAAUGGUGACUACAGAGGGAAUGCCACCCAGCGAUGGGGAGCCGAUCUCAAAAAGUCAUCUCAGUUCGGAUUGGAGUCUGCAACUCGACUCCAUGAAGCUGGAUUCGCUAGUAAUCGCGCAUCAGCCAUGGCGCGGUGUAUACGUUCCCGGGCCUUGCACUCACCGCCCGUCA
rnacentral:rRNA from 1 species